GACGAACGCUGGCGGCGUGCUUAACACAUGCAAGUCGAACGGAAAGGCCCUGCUUUUGUGGGGUGCUCGAGUGGCGAACGGGUGAGUAACACGUGAGUAACCUGCCCUUGACUGUGGGAUAACUUCAGGAAACUGGGGCUAAUACCGGGUAGGAGCUCCUGCUGCAUGGUGGGGGAUGGAAAGUUUCGGCGGGUGGGGAUGGACUCGCUGCUCAUCAGCUUGUUGGUGGGGUAGUGGCUUACCAAGGCUUUGAGGGGUAGCCGGCCUGAGGGGGUGACCGGCCACAUUGGGACUGAGAUACGGCCCAGACUCCUACGGGAGGCAGCAGUGGGGAAUAUUGCACAAUGGGCGGAGGCCUGAUCCAGCAACGCCGCGUGCGGGAUGACGGCCUUCGGGUUGUAAACCGCUUUCGCCUGUGACGAAGCGUGAGUGACGGUAAUGGGUAAAGAAGCACCGGCUAACUACGUG
rnacentral:rRNA from 1 species